rnacentral:rRNA from 1 species
AGUGAACGCUGGCGGUAGGCCUAACACAUGCGAGUCGAACGGCAGCACAGUAAGAGCUUGCUCUUACGGGUGGCGAGUGGCGGACGGGUGAGGAAUACAUCGGAAUCUACUUUUUCGUGGGGGAUAACGUAGGGAAACUUACGCUAAUACCACAUACGACCUACGGGUGAAAGCAGGGGAUCUUCGGACCUUGCGCGAUUGAAUGAGCCGAUGUCGGAUUAGCUAGUUGGCGGGGUAAAGGCCCACCAAGGCGACGAUCCGUAGCUGGUCUGAGAGGAUGAUCAGCCACUCUGGAACUGAGACACGGUCCAGACUCCUACGGGAGGCAGCAGUGGGGAAUAUUGGACAAUGGGCGCAAGCCUGAUCCAGCCAUACCGCGUGGGUGAAGAAGGCCUUCGGGUUGUAAAGCCCUUUUGUUGGGAAAGAAAAGCAGCAGGUUAAUACCCCGCUGUUCUGACGGUACCCAAAGAAUAAGCACCGGCUAACUUCGUG